GGACACUAGGGGACAAAGGGAGAGAAAGGAGGCAGGAAGGCAAGCCAAGGGGCCCUGCUAGUGGGAGCUUUCUGAGCUCUGGGAGAUCCAGGUCUUGGCUAGUAGGAUUUGGCCAGCAGAGGCCCCGCUUCAGACAGAUGCCCUGGGAAUAGACGGACCCUACUAGAGUAGACAGAGAACUUAAACUUGGUCCAAGAGCACCUGGAAGCAGAUUCUUAAGAAAGUGCUUCUUAGUUGUGCUCUCAAUGUGGGAAAACAGCAGGGAUUGCAAUUUCAAAAGGAAUAAUGCUGGAUCUCAUACUGGGAAAUCAACCAAAAGGAAUCAGCAGAACAGGGUAGGGGAAAGCCCGGGUCUUGCAGGGCUUUUCCCAGGAGAACUGGAAUUAUAGGUGCUCAGAAGCAAUUUGGAGAGUCAGUGGAUGGCUGAGUGGCUGCUCUGCUCUGCACACGAUCACAGCACAAAGCCCCACUGUGGCUGCAGCAGCCAUGGCCUGACUCACAUAUGCUGCCUCAGCACGUUCUGGGCCAUGGGAAUAUUGCCAGCCUUCUGCUUUGACAACCUCCACAACCAAGCCUCAGGGCGAUCCUCUAUGGCCGUCUGAUGACAGCCCACCACCAGGUUACAGCAGCAGCCUGCACAGUCCCCUGUCAGCGAGCUGGGCAAGAGCCUAUGAGAGUAAAUGGGACUAGAACCAUGAUCCUUACUUUGCAAGUAAAGAACUGAGGUCAAGAGAGAGCAUGUGGAUACGACCCCAUGUGACCUAGGAUCUCACUCAGUACAGCCGGCUUUCAAAGAACUCUAGGCAGAAUCGCUCUCUCCUCGAUGAGUCAAAUCUAAGGCCAUUUAUCUCAACCCGUAACGUGAAAAUAGUGAAAAUCAAGAGUGAAACAGAAGUUGUUUCCUCUCGAGAAUCAAGAGUGAAACGAAAGUUAUAUUUCCUCUAGAGAAUCAAGAGUGAAAUGGAAGUUGUUUCCUCUAGAGAAGCCCCUUGAAUAACUUGGACAUUUCUAUCAGCAACCGUCUUCUAGAAUCAGGUCACAAUCAAGGGUGAGGGGAGAAGUCUGUGAUUCCCAGCACCAUGAGAGGAUGCAGCCACCACUUUGAUACCUUGGAAAAUGUGGAUCAGUUUAAUCUGAAAAAUGUUGAACAAUCUUCAAACACAGAUGUCCCCACUUUCUGGAUUUUCGGGUUGAAAGAGAUGGAAAAUACUCCUUUGUUUUACACCUGAAGGCUGCUGGGCCUUCUGAGAUCUGCUAGUCAGCGGCAGAUGUAGAAAAAACCAGGACUCAAGUUUUCUGAUGCAGAGAUGUCUUUCAGCCGCACCGCUCUGCCUGUGUCUCGGUCUGGUGUGGGCUCAUCUAAAGCAGCAAGCUCUCGUAGACUGUGAUCCGGAGGCGGGAAGCAUCCCCCUCUCCACCCUCCUUAAAAUGCCUCCCCCUAAGAAGUCUUUCUACUCCAGUCCAGGAUUACAACACUUACUUUAUUUCCUUUAUUUUCUUAGGACCAUGCAGAGACUGCGUACAUUUCCUCUAAGGCUUUGUCACCCCGUGAGGUCCCUCAGUAGAAAGGAUGUUUACAUAGUGGGAAGGGUCAGAACUUUCCAAGACCUGAUGUCCAGUCCUUACUCUGCCCCUUACUGAUUUUCACUCCAUCGAGACAAUGAUCUCUUUUCUAGAGCAGCGCACAUUUAUUUAUUCAUUGUCCAAAUAUAAGGUACACUAAGCACUGAGACAUAAAGAGGACAAGCAAGACCUCCCCGACGCCCCUACCCCUGCUUCCAGGACCUUGCUCUGUUGUGGAGACAGAUGGGCACACGGGCAACUACAUCAUAUGUUCUAGGAUAAAGCGACCAUGUAUGCAGAGACAGGGAGGCAUGAGGCAGCCUGGGCUUCCAGCACUGGGACUGCAGACGGUUCUACUGCAGACUGUAAAGGGGUGGAGUGGGAUGGGGAUAUUGUUAGAGGUCACCAGGGGCCAGAUGACAAGGGACAUCCUAUAUCUAACUAAAGAGGUUAGAUGUUAUCAUGUCAGCUCAGGCCGCCCUUGUAGACUUGAGGGCAGGAUCACACUUUCCUGGUAGAAAGAUCGUAGUUGUCUAAUUAGCAAGGCCAGAGGCAGGCAAACCAGGCAAGUGCUUAUUGAAACGUUGCAGGGAGUGAGGAUGAGUUCCUGAGGCAGGAGAAGGAGAAGCCUGAAGAAAAGAACCUGCUUGAGUCCAGGAGUUCGAGACCAGCCUGGGCAACAUAGCGAGACCCUGUCUCUAUCUAAAAAAUAAAAUAAAAUAAAAAGGGGAGACUAAUUUAAAAACAUGAAAAGAGGCCGGGUGGUAGCUCACGCCUGUAAUCCCAGCUACUUGAGA
rnacentral:lncRNA from 1 species